UACGAAGGGGGCUAGCGUUGUUCGGAAUUACUGGGCGUAAAGCGCACGUAGGCGGAUUUGUUAGUCAGGGGUGAAAUCCCGGGACUCAACCUCGGAACUGCCUUUGAUACUGCAAGUCUAGAGUCCGGAAGAGGUGAGUGGAAUUCCUAGUGUAGAGGUGAAAUUCGUAGAGAUUAGGAAGAACACCAGUGGCGAAGGCGGCUCACUGGUCCGGUACUGACGAUGAGGUGCGAAAGCGUGGGGAGCAAACAGG
rnacentral:rRNA from 1 species